rnacentral:rRNA from 1 species
UACGAGGGGGGCGAGCGUUGUUCGGAAUUAUUGGGCGUAAAGGGUGCGUAGGCGGUUCCGCAAGUCCUGUGUGAAAUCUUCGGGCUCAACUCGAAGUCUGCACGGGAAACUGCGGGGCUUGAGUGUGGGAGAGGUGAGUGGAAUUCCCGGUGUAGCGGUGAAAUGCGCAGAUAUCGGGAGGAACACCAAUGGCGAAGGCAGCUCGCUGGGACGGUACUGACGCUGAGACGCGAAAGCGUGGGGAGCAAACAGG